rnacentral:rRNA from 1 species
UACGAAGGGGGCUAGCGUUGCUCGGAAUCACUGGGCGUAAAGGGUGCGUAGGCGGGUCUUUAAGUCAGGGGUGAAAUCCUGGAGCUCAACUCCAGAACUGCCUUUGAUACUGAGGAUCUUGAGUUCGGGAGAGGUGAGUGGAACUGCGAGUGUAGAGGUGAAAUUCGUAGAUAUUCGCAAGAACACCAGUGGCGAAGGCGGCUCACUGGCCCGAUACUGACGCUGAGGCGCGAAAGCUAGGGGAGCAAACAGG